UAUAAUAUAUAUAUAGACACAACUCGUUUUUUAACUAUAUUUCAACACGGCCUAUUUGGCACCAUGUAUCGUUUUUCGCGUCGCUAUUAUUGGCGAAAGGAUACAAAUGUAGGUCUGGUUCAGUCCAUGUAUCCUAACUAUACAGCAGGUCAUGUUGACUUAGCGCACGCAAAUAACCCAAGACGUGGUUAUACGCUCGUAAUAGUCUAUGCUUUUGAAUCCAUCGUGUCUGUUUUCCAGAUCAGAAACAUUCAUUCCGGUCCGUAAGCGGGGAAAACGACGCGAGAAAAAAGUGUUCUCGCGUCUAAGGGGUCACACCAUAACCAGAUCUCCGGGCUUUGCAGAGCCGUAGCCGCCGCCGCUCGGCGUCGGGCUCUGCCGGAUCCGAGGUCUAGCUGAUCCGCUCUUGACAAGGAGACUCCGCAACAAACAGCACACCGCACUCACACAGACCACGCACACACGCACACACGCAUACACGCACACACGCAUGCCGAUCGAUUCGAAUGUGACUCGGCCAGGGCAUGAACAAGAAUCGACUCAAACAUCGAACCUCAAAGAAACUAACGUGCCACACAAAAACGAAAGAAAAGGGGUUGCCAAAGUGGGGGAAGAGGACUAGUAGCCGAAGUAGAUCUAGUCCUAGGGCGGAUGGAUUGUAGCCUACGUUUUAGACUCGUGUCGGUGGGAGAAAAUGUGUUCUUUCAAAAAAAUGGAGUUACACAAGUCGACGAAAAGCAUGAAAACCCUGGACGUGGCGAGUGUCCUGAUGUGUCAACACGUUAAAGCGGACGGUGUACCCCCUAUAUCUUUCCCCCGGACGCACUCACACGGACCCCCAAGGCUGGACUAUAGGAGCUCCUCUCCGGGCAUCGCUCCUGUGCAAGCUGCCGCCCAGACCCAACGUCUGCUGCCUAGCAAAACCAUUUUCACAAGCAUUCGUGUUCUAGAUUAGGUCUUUCUUUCUUUCUUUCUUCUUUCAGCCCUCAAAUGCCUUUUUCCCCCGACCCCCGGCGUAAUGCACAUAUGUGGUUUAAAGCCAGCGAUGUCUAGCGGUCAACAGUCUGCAGUGGAUCGCUGUCUAUUUUUCUUCCGUUGACGAGGAGAACCGGGGGGACGAACGCAGAUGUAAACACAGUUUUUUUUUCAUCGGUGCGCCAUGAAGUAUAGGAAUAACACGAUUCAACACAAUUGGAGCCUACUUCUUUUUACUUAUUGACAUAAUUUAUGGUUGA
ensembl:lncRNA